UACAGAGGGGGCAAGCGUUAUUCGGAAUUAUUGGGCGUAAAGGGCGCGUAGGCGGCUUUGCAAGUGACGGGUGAAAUCCCUCGGCUUAACCGAGGAACUGCCUGUCAGACUGCAUGGCUUGAGACCGGGAGAGGUGAGUGGAAUUCCCAGUGUAGCGGUGAAAUGCGCAGAUAUCGGGAGGAACACCAAUGGCGAAGGCAGCUCGCUGGGACGUUACUGACGCUGAGACGCGAAAGCGUGGGGAGCAAACAGG
rnacentral:rRNA from 1 species